rnacentral:rRNA from 1 species
AUGAACGCUAGCUACAGGCUUAACACAUGCAAGUCGAGGGGCAGCAUGGUCUUAGCUUGCUAAGACUGAUGGCGACCGGCGCACGGGUGAGUAACACGUAUCCAACCUGCCGUCUACUCUUGGACAGCCUUCUGAAAGGAAGAUUAAUACAAGAUGGCAUCAUGAGUCCGCAUGUUCACAUGAUUAAAGGUAUUCCGGUAGACGAUGGGGAUGCGUUCCAUUAGAUAGUAGGCGGGGUAACGGCCCACCUAGUCUUCGAUGGAUAGGGGUUCUGAGAGGAAGGUCCCCCACAUUGGAACUGAGACACGGUCCAAACUCCUACGGGAGGCAGCAGUGAGGAAUAUUGGUCAAUGGGCGAGAGCCUGAACCAGCCAAGUAGCGUGAAGGAUGACUGCCCUAUGGGUUGUAAACUUCUUUUAUAAAGGAAUAAAGUCGGGUAUGGAUACCCGUUUGCAUGUACUUUAUGAAUAAGGAUCGGCUAACUCCGUGCCAGCAGCCGCGGUAAUACGGAGGAUCCGAGCGUUAUCCGGAUUUAUUGGGUUUAAAGGGAGCGUAGAUGGAUGUUUAAGUCAGUUGUGAAAGUUUGCGGCUCAACCGUAAAAUUGCAGUUGAUACUGGAUAUCUUGAGUGCAGUUGAGGCAGGCGGAAUUCGUGGUGUAGCGGUGAAAUGCUUAGAUAUCACGAAGAACUCCGAUUGCGAAGGCAGCCUGCUAAGCUGCAACUGACAUUGAGGCUCGAAAGUGUGGGUAUCAAACAGGAUUAGAUACCCUGGUAGUCCACACGGUAAACGAUGAAUACUCGCUGUUUGCGAUAUACUGCAAGCGGCCAAGCGAAAGCGUUAAGUAUUCCACCUGGGGAGUACGCCGGCAACGGUGAAACUCAAAGGAAUUGACGGGGGCCCGCACAAGCGGAGGAACAUGUGGUUUAAUUCGAUGAUACGCGAGGAACCUUACCCGGGCUUAAAUUGCAGAUGAAUUACGGUGAAAGCCGUAAGCCGCAAGGCAUCUGUGAAGGUGCUGCAUGGUUGUCGUCAGCUCGUGCCGUGAGGUGUCGGCUUAAGUGCCAUAACGAGCGCAACCCUUGUUGUCAGUUACUAACAGGUUCCGCUGAGGACUCUGACAAGACUGCCAUCGUAAGAUGUGAGGAAGGUGGGGAUGACGUCAAAUCAGCACGGCCCUUACGUCCGGGGCUACACACGUGUUACAAUGGGGGGUACAGAGGGCCGCUACCACGCGAGUGGAUGCCAAUCCCAAAAACCUCUCUCAGUUCGGACUGGAGUCUGCAACCCGACUCCACGAAGCUGGAUUCGCUAGUAAUCGCGCAUCAGCCACGGCGCGGUGAAUACGUUCCCGGGCCUUGUACACACCGCCCGUCAAGCCAUGGAAGCCGGGAGUACCUGAAGCAUGCAACCGCAAGGAGCGUACGAAGGUAAUACCGGUAACUGGGGCU